rnacentral:rRNA from 1 species
AAACACUGGCGGCAGCCUACCAUGCAAGUCGAACGGAAGUUUAACGCUGACGAGACUUCGGUCAAAUCUUGUUAAACGUUUAAUGGCGGACGGGUAGACUAACGUCGUGGGCGACCUAGCCUCUAUCACUGGGAGGAUAACAGUUGCAAACGACUGUUCAUACCACAUAAGCGCGACAAAGUCACAUGACUCUAGUGUGAAAAACUCCGCGUGGGAUGAGAUGGGCCCGCGUCAGAUUAGCCAGUUGGCGGGGUAACGGCCCACCAAAGCGACGAUCUGUAUCCGGACUGAGAGGUCUGACAGCCACAUUGGAACUGAGACACGGCCCAAACUCCUACAGGAGGCAGCAGUGGGGGAUAUUGCACAAUGCAGGAAACUCUGAUGCAGCGACGCCGCAUGAGUGAAGAAGUAUUUCGGUAUGUAAAGCUCUAUCAUCAUGGAAGAAAGGCUCGUAUGAGAGAUGACGGUACCUGACUAAGAAGCCCCGGCUAACUACCUGCCAGCAUCCGCGGUAAU